ACAAGCAAUGCAGUCACCUAGUAUCUGGUGAUGACAUGCUGAUUAUACACCUGCCCAAAGAACUAUGUCAGUAAGAAAAACCCAAAGGACAUGUUUAAGUGGCCCUGACUUAUAUUUCAUUUUUCAUGCUGAAGUUACUCCUACAAUGACCUGAUUUCAGUUAAUGCAUUUAUGAGACAUCUCCUGUUAUUUUACUUACCAACAGAAUGUCCAAGCAGCCUGGGGCAAUUUCAAGAAAAAUGCUUCCAAACCCUGAGGGCUGCAUCGUCCUCCCCGCAAGGCAAGCCCGAGUCCUGAUGUAGUUCCUCUGGCUGCAUCAGAUGAUGCUCCAAAGCCACAGCCAAGCCCCUGCUCUGCAUCUGAGGCUUGACCAUGAUGUCUAAGUCAUGGCAUCACUAAGCACUUGCUGAGAAAGAUUGCAAAGCACGAGAGAAAAAUAAUAAAGUACCAGGAAAAAGAAAUGGAAGAAUCAGUGGAAACUCAAUCAUCUCAGAAGAGAAGAAAAAGAUAUAAUCUGUAGGAAGAAGGUUAGAAUUAUUUUUAAAUAUUCAGAUCUCUGCUGAUUGGCUUGAAAAUAUUUGUAACUACAGAUUAAGACUAAUGCCUUUUGAAAAGACAUUAACCCAAAAAUAUUUUAAACCUGGUGGAACAUUUAACAAGAAGGAAUUUUGAAAUUAAAUCACUAUGGAAUUUAGAUUUCACCAGAUGGAGGCGAAAACUGGACAAAGAUGAUGACCAAGUUGUUGAAUAGAAAGUAAGGUCAAGAAUCUUAGAACUUGGAGCAAAAAGGAAAGUGAAAUUUACACAUGGAAACUGCGGAGGCACAUGCAGCAAACCUUAGAGACUAAGACCAAUCUAAAAGACUUUCUAGGAAGAAAAGGAGGAAUCAAAAAAUUUAAAAUGAUUGGAGAAAUUAAACACAACAAUAAAUCCCUGGAGCUGACACACAAUAGACUCUUAAGACAGAAUGUCUACUGAGAAUAAAGUAGAACAUAUAAGAAAAUGCCACACCUAGAGACCCACCGAGCAAAGACUUCCUAACUUACACGACAAAAUGAAUUUCCUCAAAGCUUCAAGAGAUACAAAGAGGAAAUAACUCAGGGAAAGAUAAAUAGACCAACAGCCAUUUCUGAUCAGGAGCAUUGGGUUCUAGGCAGAAAAUCAAUAAUAUAACUCAAAUUUCCAAGGAGACAUUGUUUUGGAUUCUAUACCCAGCCAAGCAAUCAACAACGUUUAAGGACAAGAACAACAAAGACCUUCAUGGAAAAACCAGGACCCAAUUGAAGUUCAGUCUGAGAUCUUAAUUCCACCCUGGUGUGUGAAGUACCAGGUGUUAAAUUAGCUGCAAGAAUUUCUCCAGCUUUCCAAGUCUGCAGGAGAAACAUGCUAAUGAGGACUGAAGGAAAUUAAUGGAAGAGAGUCCAGGAGGCUGGGAGGAAAGUUCAGCACCAUUUCCUACAUCGGGGAUUUUUAGAGAAGCGCCUUCAAUUUACCACAAGCCAAGAGCUCAUGAGUAAAAUACAGAAGUGUUUGAAUCUACACCCUUAAGCAUUUCCUUCUGACACACAGGAUUGAAGUCUGCUGUAGGUAACAUCGGCAUCUGAGGAUCUCAUACAGGAAGCAGGGAACAUAGAGGAGGAUCUCGACAGCACCCCUACACCUGCACCCCUUAAGACUAUAGAACAAGAAGAGAGGCACAAGCUAUUAUAAAAGAAUUUUGGCUUAAGUAUAAAAGAUGAGUCUAACGACAAGUUUUCAACAAAUGAAAGAACCACAGUUUAGCCUCAUCAAAUGUCUAUUUUACACAUGAAAAACUAAGACACAGAAAGACUAAAGAUGGUCUGAACACAGCAUUAUGGUUUGUGACAAUGUUGAUCCUUGACUUUGUGUCUAGAUACCAAAUGUACUAAGCCAUCUUGAUGGUAACAAAGACAUCCAUAAGAGUGUUAUGUGAACGCUCAUGCUAUUCCUGUGCAAUUAGUGACCAGAGGGUAGUGAUUGUUAUGGGGGUGACCCUAGGGCCAUGAUUCAUGCCUUUAUUCGUAUUCCAGUAAAUUGGGCUGAUAGUCAUCUACUGAAUGCCUGCUAUACUAGAGUCUUAGAGAAUUCAUCCUUGACCAAGGGAGACAAAUGACUGAUGCACAAACAAAUGUUAUCCAGAGUGAUAAAUAUUAAUCAAAAUACUAAGCGAACAGUGGCAGGGGAACAGUUCAUUCUGCCCAGGCACAGGAGAGUGAGGAGACAUCCAGCAGACAGUGAGGAAGGAUGACAAUAUUGUUUGUUUAAUGAGAUGUGUUUAUGAAGAAAAAAAUGGCAAAAGUGUGAAAUUAUGAGCAAAAGCAGGCCCCAGAAGGAGUCGGUGAGUCUGGGGAAUGGUAGGUAAAAGUUUGGAGGAACUGGCUGUAUUAGUAUCAGCUGGGUUGAUAAACAUCUAGGAUAUGGAGGAUUCUGUUCUACAUAUUACAGCAAGAUAAUGGAGGGCAUUUAGGAUGGGUGGGACUGGAUCAGAUUUGGGGUUUGGAAAAUGAUUCCAUGGGUGGUUUCCAGGAUGGAUGUAAAAGGAAGACUAUAUUCUAAAAGUCUAAAAGUCAAUAAAAACCAUUGUAAUAAUGUACAGGAAAAUAAACGCCUGCAAGAGUUGUGCCAGUGUGGACACAGAGGAGAAUGAGCUGGGAAUGAGCUGAAAGCGGACCUGAUUGCAUACAACAGCUGAGCUCCUCCAGCUCCUGAGUACAGCUGAUGUAUUGUUCAGGGUGGUAAUGGGGCUGAUACUCCAACCUGCCAAUCAUGGACCACUGGUCUCUUCUUGACUGCCUAAUUGAUUUAAUUUCUAUUUCUGCUAUGCCCACAGUCUGCUAUUACUAUAUCACUGAAUGCCUAUCUUCCAAAGCUAAUUAAAAAUUAAAUUGUGUCCUUCCUCCUCAAAAUGUACAUGCUGGAGUCCUAGCCCCAUAACUCAGAAGGUAUGUUUGCUCCAAUAUAGGAUCAUGAUUGAGGUAGUCAAGCUAGAUGAGUUCCUAAAUAAAAAGGAGAAUGUGGGAUCUAGAUGUCCAUACAGAAAGAGUGCCCAGUGAGGAAGGCAGAGAUCAAGGAGAUGCCUCCUCCAACCUAGACAAACUAGUAACGUGGUGGCACAAAACCAUCUGUAACUCUAGUUCCAGAGAUCCAAUGUACUAUUCUAAUUUCCAUGAGUGGCAGCCAGCAAGUCUCCAGGAGUACCAGAUAACACAUUUCUGUCCAGAAAAGCAGCUGCACUGCUUUUUAGAGAAGCCCCAGCAAAGUAAACACUGGGCUUCACUCAAGCAAUUCCCAUAAGAGCCUUUGUUGACUGCUUAACCUACAGCACUGCCUCCUUGUCACAACACCUUGUUUUCUUGUCUUCACAGUGUUUAAUGUUACCUUAUGUUAUGCUAUUAAUGUAAUGUAAUAUAAUAUAAUAUAAUAUAAUAUAAUAUAAUAUAAUAUAAUAUAAUAUAAUAUAAUAUAAUAUAAUAUAAAACAUUAGAUAUACCCUGCCACCACUCACCCCAGACAUACCUUGCCCUGCCACCCUUAGAACGUACAAUCUAUGACACUGAGAGAGUUCUUGGUAUUUUCUAUAUCUUUAAAUCUUU